rnacentral:rRNA from 1 species
ACGUAGGAGGCGAGCGUUAUCCGGAUUCACUGGGCGUAAAGCGCGUGCAGGCGGUUCGGUAAGUUGGGCGUGAAAUCUCCCGGCUCAACUGGGAGAGGUCGUUCAAUACUACCGGACUUGAGAGCGAUAGAGGAAAAUGGAAUUCCCGGUGUAGUGGUGGAAUGCGUAGAUAUCGGGAGGAACACCAGUGGCGAAAGCGGCGCCCUGGCACUGGCCUGACGCUCAUGUGCGAAAGCGUGGGGAGCGAACGG